AGUGAACGCUGGCGGUAGGCCUAACACAUGCAAGUCGAACGGCAGCACAGUAAGAGCUUGCUCUUACGGGUGGCGAGUGGCGGACGGGUGAGGAAUACAUCGGAAUCUACUUUUUCGUGGGGGAUAACGUAGGGAAACUUACGCUAAUACCGCAUACGACCUACGGGUGAAAGCAGGGGAUCUUCGGACCUUGCGCGAUUGAAUGAGCCGAUGUCGGAUUAGCUAGUUGGCGGGGUAAAGGCCCACCAAGGCGACGAUCCGUAGCUGGUCUGAGAGGAUGAUCAGCCACACUGGAACUGAGAUACGGUCCAGACUCCUACGGGAGGCAGCAGUGGGGAAUAUUGGACAAUGGGCGCAAGCCUGAUCCAGCCAUACCGCGUGGGUGAAGAAGGCCUUCGGGUUGUAAAGCCCUGUUGUUGGGAAAGAAAAGCAGCAGGUUAAUACCCCGCUGUUCUGACGGUACCCAAAGAAUAAGCACCGGCUAACUUCGUG
rnacentral:rRNA from 1 species